rnacentral:rRNA from 1 species
UAAGGAAUAUUGCUCAAUGGGAGAAAUCCUGAAGCAGCAACGCCGCGUGGAGGAUGAAGGGUCUAUGACUUGUAAACUCCUGUAAAGAAGGAAAAAAUUCCCAUUUGAUGGGAGAUGAUGGUACUUCUGGAGUAAGCCCCGGCUAACUACGUGCCAGCCGCCGCGGUAAUACGUAGGGGGCAAGCGUUGUCCGGAUUUACUGGGUGUAAAGGGUGCUCAGGCGGAUUUGUAAGUCAGAGGUGAAAUCUUACAGCUUAACUGUGAAACUGCCUUUGAUACUGCAAGCCUAGAGUAUGGAAGAGAGAGAUGGAAUAUCUGGUGUAGCAGUGAAAUGCGUAGAUAUCAGAUAGAACACCAAUGGCGAAGGCAGUCACUUGGUCCAUUACUGACGCUAAAGCACGAAAGCGUGGGUAGCAAACA